UUAUAAAGUAAGCUAACCUAAGCUAGUGGGUUCAUACCCCAAAUAUGAUUAAUUCCUUUGUUAA
rnacentral:tRNA from 1 species